AGGGGAGUAGCUCAAUUGGUAGAGUAGUGGUCUCCAAAACCAUUGGUUGCGGGUUCGAGUCCUGUCUCCCCUGCCA
rnacentral:tRNA from 2 species